rnacentral:sRNA from 14 species
UUGGCAUCAUAUGGGACUGAAUUCAAUUUAUCCAAAUUACAGAUAUGUUGCAGGCAGUGCAAUUUCCCAUAAGCUAUCAUGUCAACGUGUCUUAACCCUGACCUACUUAUGGCGCCUCCAAAAAUGGAUACAUUUUUCAGUUCUCUGUGUUCAUUCAGCCCUUGGAUUGU